CUACGGGUGGCUGCAGUGAGGAAUCUUGGACAAUGGGCGAAAGCCUGAUCCAGCGACGCCGCGUGGGUGACGAAGGCCUUCGGGUUGUAAAGCCCUGUCAGAGGGGAAGAAGUUCUGACGGUACCCUCAGAGGAAGCACAGGCUAACUCCGUGCCAGCAGCCGCGGUAAUACGGAGUGUGCAAGCGUUGCUCGGAAUCACUGGGCGUAAAGGGCGCGUAGGCGGCUUGGUAAGUUGGAUGUGAAAGCCCUCGGCUCAACCGAGGAACUGCAUCCAAAACUGCCUGGCUAGAGUACGGAAGAGGAAGGCGGAAUUCCCAGUGUAGGGGUGAAAUCCGUAGAUAUUGGGAAGAACACCAGUGGCGAAGGCGGCCUUCUGGGACGAUACUGACGCUGAGGCGCGAAAGCGUGGGAAGCAAACAGGAUUAGAUACCCCGGUAGUC
rnacentral:rRNA from 1 species